UACGUGGGGGGCAAGCGUUGUCCGGAUUUAUUGGGCGUAAAGAGCGUGUAGGCGGCCAGGUAGGUCCGCUGUGAAAACUCGAGGCUCAACCUCGAGAUGUCGGCGGAAACCAUCUGGCUAGAGUCCGGAAGAGGAGAGUGGAAUUCCUGGUGUAGCGGUGAAAUGCGCAGAUAUCAGGAAGAACACCCGUGGCGAAGGCGGCUCUCUGGGACGGUACUGACGCUGAGACGCGAAAGCGUGGGGAGCGAACAGG
rnacentral:rRNA from 1 species